CAAUAGCGUAUAUUAAAGCUGUUGCGGUUAAAAAGCUCGUAGUUGGAUUUCUGUCAAGUACAACUGGUCCGCCCUCCGGGUGAGCACAUAGUUUGGUCUUGGCAUCUUGCUGGAAACUGUUGCUGCACUUGGCUGUGUGGCGCAGCGUCCAGCACUUUCACUUUGAGGAAAUUGGAGUGUUUCAAGCAGGCACAUGCCUUUGGACACAGUAGCAUGGAAUAAUUAGAUUGGGCUUUUGCUCCAAUUUGUCGGUUUCUGGAGCUGAGGUGAGAAUUAAUGGGGAUUGUUGGGGGCAUCCGAAUUUAGCCGUCAGAGGUGAAAUUCUUGGAUCUGCUAAAGACGGACAACUGCGAAAGCGUUUGCCCAGGAUGUUUUCAUUGA
rnacentral:rRNA from 1 species